AGAUUUUGAGCAGACUAUGGUGUUAGUUGCCUGUGGGCCUUAUACCACCUCUGACAGCAUCACAUACGACCCCCUGCUUGAUCUGAUCAGCACCAUCAACCAUGACCGGCCAGAUGUCUGCAUCCUGUUCGGCCCUUUCCUGGAUGCUAAGCAUGAACAAGUGGAGCUCCGGCUCCCACCUUGUCUUUGUCCCGUCUCUGAGGGAUGUGCACCACGAGCCAGUCUACCCACAGCCACCUUUCACCUUCUCCGAACUGCCUCUCUCCUGCUUCACAAGAUAGGUGUCCAGACGUGAACCAUCUAUGGAGACAGCCCGCCCAGAAAGGCAGGAAAACAUUGUGAUUUUCUGUAUGAAGCAAACAGCGUGUGGAGAAAUAAAAAAAUUUUUUAGUAU
rnacentral:lncRNA from 1 species